rnacentral:rRNA from 1 species
CCUACGGGAGGCAGCAGUGGGGAAUAUUGGACAAUGGGGGGAACCCUGAUCCAGCCAUGCCGCGUGUGUGAAGAAGGCCCUCGGGUUGUAAAGCACUUUCAGUGAGGAAGAACGCCUGGUGGUUAAUACCCAUCAGGAAAGACAUCACUCACAGAAGAAGCACCGGCUACACUCCGUGCCAGCAGCCGCGGUAAUACGGAGGGUGCGAGCGUUAAUCGGAAUUACUGGGCGUAAAGCGCGCGUAGGUGGCUUGAUAAGCCGGUUGUGAAAGCCCCGGGCUCAACCUGGGAACGGCAUCCGGAACUGUCAAGCUAGAGUGCAGGAGAGGAAGGUAGAAUUCCCGGUGUAGCGGUGAAAUGCGUAGAGAUCGGGAGGAAUACCAGUGGCGAAGGCGGCCUUCUGGACUGACACUGACACUGAGGUGCGAAAGCGUGGGUAGCAAACAGGAUUAGAUACCCGGGUAGUC